CCAGGGGCAUCGGAAGGCGGGGUGCUGGUGGGACUUACCAGCUGCUGCCAGAUGCGGGGGCUGUCUUCCUCGGCACACCUGCAGCUUCCCGGGCGUCUUGCGCCCUACGAAGCCCCAGGGCUAGUGCAAAUUCUGGAGCUCACGCGGGGCUCCAUGAGUGAAAGAAUGAGUCACAAAUGAACCAAGAGCACUCAGUGAGAAGAAAGUGGCUCUUAGAUCUGAUUUCAGUCCCGAGGCCAAAGGGAAUGAGGGGCAACCUUACCAGAUGUCACUCGUACUCGGUGCCCGGGGCCGAGUGCCCUGUCCGGCACCUGUCCCGCCCCGCAAAGGGCUGCCCCACAUUGAGCAGCCAGUGUGGGUCCCACAUGAGGGGGACACGGCAGUGACCAAGCACCCAGGUCCCAGCUGUGUCAUUCAUGACUUGGAAAAGGAAGCCAACCUGCUCAGGGGGGCCUCAGAGGGAUGCUGGGGGCAGGGGGUGACGGCAGAGAGAGAGGAACUUGGUGGCCCCGUGGGACUCCCUGGCCUGCGGUGCUGGGGCUCCCUCGCCAGGCGGGGUGCUGGCCGUCGGCUCUGGGUGCUCAUCACGGCGCCUGGGACCCUCACACCAAUGCACCUUUUGGAUGGGAGGCGCACACCGGGAGCCGGAGGGCGGGCUUUAUCUGCCUGAGUGCCAAGCCCUGCUGCGGCUAGCGUGUGCCCCACAACCCAGGUCUCCAGGGCGCGGGCUGCAGAGGGGCUGCUGCAGAGGGGUCCCCACCUGGGACCCUUUCUCGGGUUCCUUGUGGUGCGGGGGGUGCGCCCCAGAGGGCGUGCUGGCUUGCCUGCGUGCUCCUGACAGUGGCCAAGGCGUUUAUUCGUGGGUGUCCAGAAAGACCGAGCCGUCCGAGGUCCGUGUUUCCUCAGAGCCCAGUUCUCACUGGGGAGUCCGUGUCUCCCUUCCCUUCCCAACACCCACCCCAGGGGCAGCCACCCCAGGACCCUUCGGCGGCAGCCCCGGGGGCCACGCCCCACCCCGCAGCCGGUGGUUCUGGGGGCUCAGCGUGGGGCUGACACGUCCAGUGACUCAGGGUCAGUAUCUGGGCCUCUGCUGAGAUAUUUCCAGUCACAAAAUGUGUCGUUUAAAAAAUAGACGUGUCCGUGGAGUACUCGCUGAGCCCGGACCACGUGGGACCUGGUUGUUCUAAUAAACAUGAAGAAACCCGUUUUCACAUUAGAGAAAGAACAGUUUCUAGCAGCAAUGCGGUGCUUUUAACAGAGGCUAAUUAAUAAACAGCAGCUGGAGCUGUUUAUCAUCUUCCAACUCUCACGAAAAAGGAAAAACUAUCACUUAAACAGCCAUUGAACACUCGGCAUCGUAUGUGGAUUUCUUAACAUAAAUAAACCCUACAAACCGAGACCGUGUUCUCCGAGUGACGUCAUUCAUUGAAGGCUGGCUCCCCAGUCAGAUGCGGGCACACUUGGCCUUCUCUCUGCUCGGCCGGGGACACCGGAAAGCUCUCUGCCCGGGUCAGCCCGGCACGGCCGGGUCCAGAUGGCAAAAACGGUUCCAAAUCCACAGUCCCCUUGAGAGCUUUGCUUUUGAACUCUAAGUUCGGAGGCUGAAAGACUCCGAAUGCUUCCUGCAGAAGCGAGUGCAGAGCUCAGCAGAAGGAGGAGGUCCUCGGGUCCUUCUGGAGCCCACAGUGAUGCUGGCUGCAGAGUCAGCCCCUUGAAAUGAAUGAGGAACAGGAAAAUCACCGUUAGUGGGUCCACGCGAUGUGGUCUGCCCAUUCCGUGGAGGCGUCCUUGGCCACGAGAAGGAGCAGAGUACUAACACAAGCUACGACGUGUGUGAACUCAGAAACAUUAUUCUCCGUGAAGGAAGCUGGUCACAAGGUGUGUGUUGUUUGAGUCCACGCACAAGAAAUGUCCAGGACAGGAAAAUCCACAGACUGGGGGAGAAGAGAGUGGGGCGGCGGUGGCUGCUGAUGGACAUGGGUCUCCUGCUGGGUGAGGACAGUGCUCUAGAACGAGCUGGCCGUACUAAAUGCUGCCGCGUCAUUCGCUGUAAAACGGUAAAUGUUAUGAUAUGUGAACUCUAUCUCAAUACACCUAUUAUUUUAAAAAAUCA